GGUGGCUGCUGGAGAGAAACACUCUGUCUUCCUGCUUUGAGGACAGCUGAAGUCUUGCCACUUCUUCUGGAUGCUCUGACCAUCAGUAAGCCACCUCAGUCUCACCCUCCGCAGAAUGCAGGCCCACUCCGUUGCUGAAGGGCCUCCUCCUUGGGCCAGGGCGCCUGCUUCUGCCAGUGGCAUCAUCACCCCACUCCUCAGCCGCCAGUCAUCAGAGACACGGUCUGACUUUGUUACCCCGGCUGGAGUGCAGUGGUGCAAUCAUGGCUCACUGCAGCCUUAACCUCCUGGGCUCAAGUGAUCCUCUCGCCAAGGCUAGGAUAAGUAGCUAGGACUACAGAUGCGCCCCAUCACGCCCAGCUAAUUUUACAACUUCUGUAGAGAUGGAGUGUUGCUGGGUUGCCCAGGCUGGUCUUGAAUUCCUGGGCUCAAGCGAUCCUCCUGUGUCCGGAAUUGGUGGGUUCUUGGUCUCACUGACUUCAAGAAUGAAGCCGCGGACCCUCGCGGUGAGUGUUACAGUUCUUAAAGACAGCGUGUCCAGAGUUUGUUCCUUCUGAUGUUCAGAUGUGUUCAGAGUUUCUUCCUUCUGGUGGGUUCGUGGUCUCGCUGGCUUAGGGGUGAAGCUGCAGACCUUCGCGGUGAGUGUUACAGUUCUUAGGGCGGCGCGUCUGGAGUUGUCUGUUCCUCCCGGUGGGCUCGUAGUCUCGCUGGCUUCAGGAGUGAAGCUGCAGACCUUCGCGGUGAGUGUUACAGCUCAUAAAGGCAGCGUGGACCUACAGAGUGAGCAGUAGCAAGAUUUAUUGCAAAGAGCAAAAGAACAAAGCUUCCACAGCGUGGAAAGGGAUCCCAGC
rnacentral:lncRNA from 1 species